AUGCUUUUGACGGGUAACGGGGAAUUAGGGUUCGACUCCGGAGAGGGAGCCUGAGAAACGGCUACCACAUCCAAGGAAGGCAGCAGGCGCGCAAAUUACCCAAUCCCGAUACGGGGAGGUAGUGACAAGAAAUACCGAUUCAGGAUCUUAUUGGAUCUUGAGAUUGGAAUGAGUACAAUUCAAACCCAUUAACGAGGAACAACUAGAGGGCAAGUCUGGUGCCAGCAGCCGCGGUAAUUCCAGCUCUAGUAGCGUAUAUUAAAAUUGUUGCAGUUAAAACGCUCGUAGUUGAACUUUGGGCUUGGCUGGCUGGUCCGCCUCACCGCGUGCACUGGUCCGGCUGGGCCUUUCCUCUUGGGGAUCCACAUGCCCUUCACUUGGGUGUGUUGGGGAACCAGGACUUUUACUUUGAAAAAAUUAGGGUGUUCAAAGCAGGCAUUUGCUCGAAUACAUUAGCAUGGGAUAAUAGAAUAGGACGUGUGGUCUUAUUUUGUUGGUUUCUAGGACCGCCGUAAUGAUUGAUAGGGAUAGUUGGGGGCAUCGGUAUUCAAUUGUCAGAG
rnacentral:rRNA from 1 species